AUUGAACGCUGGCGGAAUGCUUUACACAUGCAAGUCGAACGGCAGCACGGACUUCGGUCUGGUGGCGAGUGGCGAACGGGUGAGUAAUGUAUCGGAACGUGCCCAGUCGUGGGGGAUAACGUAGUGAAAAUUACGCUAAUACCGCAUACGAUCUAUGGAUGAAAGCGGGGGAUCGCAAGACCUCGCUCGAUUGGAGCGGCCGAUAUCAGAUUAGGUAGUUGGUGGGGUAAAGGCCCACCAAGCCAACGAUCGGUAGCUGGUCUGAGAGGACGACCAGCCACACUGGAACUGAGACACGGUCCAGACUCCUACGGGAGGCAGCAGUGGGGAAUUUUGGACAAUGGGCGAAAGCCUGAUCCAGCCAUUCCGCGUGCAGGAUGAAGGCCCUCGGGUUGUAAACUGCUUUUGUACAGAACGAAAAGGUUUCUACUAAUACUAGGAGCUCAUGACGGUACUGUAAGAGUAAGCACCGGCUAACUACGUGCCAGCAGCCGCGGUAA
rnacentral:rRNA from 1 species